AGAGUUUGAUCCUGGCUCAGAUUGAACGCUGGCGGCAGGCCUAACACAUGCAAGUCGAACGGUAACAUUUCUAGCUUGCUAGAAGAUGACGAGUGGCGGACGGGUGAGUAAUGCUUGGGAACUUGCCUUUGCGAGGGGGAUAACAGUUGGAAACGACUGCUAAUACCGCAUAAUGUCUUCGGACCAAACGGGGCUCCGGCUCCGGCGCAAAGAGAGGCCCAAGUGAGAUUAGCUAGUUGGUAAGGUAAUGGCUUACCAAGGCGACGAUCUCUAGCUGUUCUGAGAGGAAGAUCAGCCACACUGGGACUGAGACACGGCCCAGACUCCUACGGGAGGCAGCAGUGGGGAAUAUUGCACAAUGGGGGAAACCCUGAUGCAGCCAUGCCGCGUGUGUGAAGAAGGCCUUCGGGUUGUAAAGCACUUUCAGUUGUGAGGAAAAGUUAGUAGUUAAUACCUGCUAGCCGUGACGUUAACAACAGAAGAAGCACCGGCUAACUCCGUGCCAGCAGCCGCGGUAAUACGGAGGGUGCGAGCGUUAAUCGGAAUUACUGGGCGUAAAGCGCACGCAGGCGGUUUGUUAAGCUAGAUGUGAAAGCCCCGGGCUCAACCUGGGAUGGUCAUUUAGAACUGGCAGACUAGAGUCUUGGAGAGGGGGGUGGAAUUCCAGGUGUAGCGGUGAAAUGCGUAGAUAUCUGGAGGAACAUCAGUGGCGAAAGGCGACUCCCUGGCCAAAGACUGACGCUCAUGUGCGAAAGUGUGGGUAGCGAACAGGAUUAGAUACCCUGGUAGUCCACACCGUAAACGCUGUCUACUAGCUGUGUGUGUCUUUAAGA
rnacentral:rRNA from 1 species